UAGUAAUGAUAGUUUGCUUUUUAGAUUUCCAAUAUACAGCACCAACUGCUAAAAUAAAAAUAUAACCAGUAGUAGAGAGAGAAUCCACCUGAUAGGGUAUUCUAGUCAGCAUCACUGUAACCCUCAAUCACAACAGGAUACUUCCCAUAAAAUAAGCCAUAAGUGUCAUGCCCCGGAUUACUCGUUUUCCCGGGCACGCUAACAGACCCGCCGUAUACAUAAAAAUUUCCUCUGUAUACGAAGCGAAACAGUAAAAGUACCUGUAAUAAAACAAUACUAUAAACAGUAGUAUAGAGCUACUAGGAAACUAAACCAUAUAUAAACAGUGGUUCAAUAUAUACAUGUCAU
rnacentral:lncRNA from 1 species